GUGAGGAAUAUUGGACAAUGGGCGCAAGCCUGAUCCAGCCAUGCCGCGUGCAGGAAGACGCAUCUAUGGUGUGUAAACUGCUUUUGUACGGGAAGAAACACUCCCUCGUGAGGGAGCUUGACGGUACCGUAAGAAUAAGGAUCGGCUAACUCCGUGCCAGCAGCCGCGGUAAUACGGAGGAUCCAAGCGUUAUCCGGAAACAUUGGGUUUAAAGGGUCCGUAGGCGGUUUAAUAAGUCAGUGGUGAAAGCCCAUCGCUCAACGAUGGAACGGCCAUUGAUACUGUUAGACUUGAAUUACAAGGAAGUAACUAGAAUAUGUAGUGUAGCGGUGAAAUGCUUAGAUAUUACAUGGAAUACCAAUUGCGAAGGCAGGUUACUACUUGUGGAUUGACGCUGAUGGACGAAAGCGUGGGGAGCGAACAGGAUUAGAAACCCCGGUAGUCC
rnacentral:rRNA from 1 species